CCUACGGGUGGCAGCAGUGAGGAAUAUUGGUCAAUGGCCGGAAGGCUGAACCAGCCAUGCCGCGUGAAGGUCAGUGCCCUAUGGGCGUUAAACUUCUUUUGUGCGGGAGCAAUAAUGGUCACGUGUGGCCAGACGAGAGUACCGUACGAAUAAGCAUCGGCUCACUCCGUGCCAGCAGCCGCGGUAAUACGGGGGAUGCAAGCGUUAUCCGGAUUUAUUGGGUUUAAAGGGUGCGUAGGCUGUGAGGUAAGUCAGCGGUGAAAUGCCCCCGCUCAACGGGGUGAAGUGACAUUGAUAAUGCCUGGCUGGAAUGCGGAUGCAGUGGGAGGAAUGUGUGGUGUAGCGGUGAAAUGCAUAGAUAUCACACAGAACACCGAUUGCGAAGGCAUCUCACGAAUCCGCGAUUGACGCUGAUGCACGAAAGCGUGGGUAUCAAACAGGAUUAGAUACCCCAGUAGUC
rnacentral:rRNA from 1 species